rnacentral:lncRNA from 7 species
ACUAGCUGUUUCACUUUUUGCUGGCAGAGCUGGCGUGUUUCCUUUUAGGGAAAUACUUUCAAAUCACCUAAUUCUUCUAUUAAUUCAACAUAACUCAUUGGAAGAACCGAAAGUCCCCAGAGCCUGGACCUGCUAUGGAGAGUAUUCUACAUCCCUCUCCUCCUGUGCCUGUCAGCAGAAGGCCUGAGAAUGACCUACGUGAAGCAACAAAUUACAGUCAAAAGGGCAACAAGCAACACAACAAAUGGGAAUCUGUCAGAGUGAGAGAGACAUCACUGGGCACAUAACGCUAGGAAUUUAAUGUAUCUUUUGUCUGUCAUCUGCAUGCUAAAUUUCCAUGUCUUCCUUCAACAGAAUUUCCUCUUGCCAUGACAACCUUAAUAAGUAUAGGCUAGCUCACACUGUCUACUUUUUCACAUAUAUUUCAAGAUAAAACACAGUCCCCAGAGCCCAGAAUGACAUUAGCUGAGUAAUGCUCAGCCAGCUGGGUUCUCUGCUUGCAAGGGUCUAGACACAAAGCCAGAGAAGCACAAAAUGCAUGAAGGCAUGAGCAAGGAGAGAUUUACAGAUCUUGGCUACGAUGUUAUCUUGUCCUUCCAAAUGGACAAGACUAAUAAUACCAGCUUAAAAGCCAGACACCCUGCCUAAAUGUAUAUUAGGUACUUCUGGUUCAUUUCAGCAGUAGAGAAGGUUGUCACUCAUUGUGUAUAAACUAGGAUCUUUUUCAAAGCCUUUAGAGAUCUAUGAGCAAAAUUCAGGUAAAUCUAAGGCUGUAUAUCACUGGGUCCCUGUUCCUGAACUGCAGCCAGUGCCUACACAACCAAGUCUGGGGCGAGUUGGUGCAGCCCACUGCUGUCAGCUUGCUUGCAGGAACCCCCAGAUAUGUAAGCACUAAGAAAUGAAAUCUCUAUUUAAGUUGCAAGGACUCAAACCUCUUUCUCAAGAGUAGCCUAAGCAGCACCUAUUGAAGAACACUGUUGUUUUUUUUUUCCUUUUCAACACAGAACAGUACUGCUUUGAAGAAGUAAGAAACUAUCAGCCAGAUGUUCAUUUAUAGGCAUAUAGUCUGCUGUAAAUUUGAGGAUAAACUCACAUUUCUUUCCUAGGGGAAGAUGCCAGUCUUAACGUGCUUCCUGCUUGUCCACUUUUACCUGGAUGGUGAGGUUUAUUCCUCUUGACAAAAGUUGUCCUCAGGCAUCUAUUUCCACAAAUAGAGAGAAAAGCAGACUUUUCAAGAGGCUCAGCAACUUCAUAUUUAUAGAGCAUUGUCAGCUGUGAUGACAGUGGUCCACCCUGCAGUCACAUGAAUUUGUCUUCACCUACUUCUGACUCAUCCAUGUGAAAGUGGGAAGGACAUCUCUAAUGUUUAUGAAGGAAAAAAAUCUUCUGGAAAUCUCUAAGUAAAACAUUGUCAAAGUGUGCCAGCAGGAGUUUCUUCAAAAUCACCUGUGAAGUCUGAAGCAAAAUAAUUGCUUGAACACAUAGCAAACUCCAUAUUAUGUGAAGAGUAGCAUUUUCAUUAUGCUGGAUUAUUCUCAAAAGCUUUUUAAUUAAAUGAUUUCAUGGCUG